UUGAUGAGUUAUAUUCAAGUUGGCUUUAAUCUUUAAAUUUAAGAUACGUAUACUAAUAGAUGAGUUGUAUUCAAGUUGGUGUGCUUCUUCCUUGUUUUCGAGUUUGAAUGAGUUAUAUUCAAGUUGGUGUGUUUCUUCCCUAUUUUCGAGCUUGAAUAUGCUAACUUUUAAGUUUUUGAAACAGAACAAUGGUACAGCAGCAUGGCAGCGGAUCUUUCACUCGUUAUGGGAGGGAGAUAUCAUCCUCAUUUCCACGUGCUGUGGUUCCAAAGAUUCCAUUUUGUCAAAUAUUUCCACCGACAGACAGACAACCCAUGUUUCGACAACGUUGAUGUUUUACUGAACUAAAAUAGUAAGCAGGGUUAGAACGACCAUGUUAACAACUGAAAGAGAUGGUGGCAGUGCACUGUUCACACCGCCCCCGCCGAAUAUCAUCCCGAAGUAGUCACCACCGCCGUCGCUGCCACUGGACCCGGAAUUGGAAAAGCUCUCGUCUCCAGAGGGACAACUUUACCCUUCUAAUCGAGCUCAUAUUACCGAAUAGAGUUGAACUUUGAGAUUUGGUGUGUAGUGGAUUGGGAAAGCAAAAGGUAUUGCUUGCUUACCCAAGGUAGAACAGGACAGACAAAAGACAAGAACAAGAAAACAAGUGAGCUGUGUUUUUCGACUGUUGUGUCAGCCCUAGAUUCUCACUCCAAAGUCCCACAUACUAUAUCUCAUUUACCCAUUCAAUUUAUCCAUGAAUUUGUAUUUUAGUUAAAAUUAUUUGUCUUUUUUUCUUUAUAAAAGUCUAGAAAAGUUAUUUA